CCUACGGGUGGCAGCAGUGGGGAAUAUUGGGCAAUGGGCGCAAGCCUGACCCAGCAACGCCGCGUGAAGGAAGAAGGCUUUCGGGUUGUAAACUUCUUUUCUCAGGGACGAAGAAAGUGACGGUACCUGAUGAAUAAGCCACGUCUAACUACGUGCCAGCAGCCGCGGUAAUACGUAGGUGGCAAGCGUUAUCCGGAUUUACUGGGUGUAAAGGUCGUGUAGGCGGGGAAGCAAGUCAGAUGUGAAAGCCACGGGCUCAACCUGUGGCCUGCAUUUGAAACUGUUUUUCUUGAGUACUGGAGAGGCAGACGGAAUUCCUAGUGUAGCGGUGAAAUGCGUAGAUAUUAGGAGGAACACCAGUGGCGAGGGCGGUCUGCUGGACAGCAACUGACGCUGAGGCGCGAAAGCGUGGGGAGCAAACAGGAUUAGAUACCCAGUAGUC
rnacentral:rRNA from 1 species